CAGUAGCCGCGGUAAUACGGAGGGGGCUAGCGUUGUUCGGAAUUACUGGGCGUAAAGCGCACGUAGGCGGCUGUGUAAGUCAGAGGUGAAAGCCCGGGGCUCAACCCCGGAAUAGCCUUUGAGACUGCAUAGCUUGAACACGGGAGAGGUGAGUGGAAUUCCGAGUGUAGAGGUGAAAUUCGUAGAUAUUCGGAAGAACACCAGUGGCGAAGGCGGCUCACUGGACCGUUGUUGACGCUGAGGUGCGAAAGCGUGGGGAGCAAACAGGAUUAGAUACCCCCGUAGUCCCUGUCUCUUAUAC
rnacentral:rRNA from 1 species